CAUAGGUCAGGAUACUGGGCACAGGAAAGUGUAAGGUGGGAAGUUUGACUGGUGCGAUAGCCUCCCAAAAGGUAACGGAGGCGAUGAAAGGUUAUUUCAGUAAGGUCGGAAAUCGUACGUAGAGGGUAAAGGCAAAAGAGAGCUUGAUUGCAAGACAUACAGGUCGAGCAAGGAUGAAAAGCGGACUUAGUGAUCCGGUGGUUCUGCGUGGAAGGGCCAUCGCUCAACGGAUAAAAGCUACCCUGGAGAUAACAGGCUUAUCCCCCCCAAGAGUCCACAUCGACGGGGAGGUUUGGCACCUCGAUGUCGGCUCAUCACAUCCUGGGGCUGUAGUAGGUCCCAAGGGUUGGGCUGUUCGCCCAUUAAAGUGGUACGCGAG
rnacentral:rRNA from 1 species